rnacentral:rRNA from 1 species
UACGUAGGGACCAAGCGUUGUUCGGAUUUACUGGGCGUAAAGGGCGCGUAGGCGGCAAUUCAAGUCACUUGUGAAAUCUCUGAGCUUAACUCAGAACGGUCAAGUGAUACUGCUUUGCUAGAGUGCAGAAGGGGCAACCGGGAAUUCUUGGUGUAGCGGUGAAAUGCGUAGAUAUCAAGAGGAACACCGGAGGUGAAGACGGGUUGCUGGGCUGACACGUGACGCUGAGGCGCGAAAGCUAGGGUAGCAAACGGG